GUGGGGAAUUUUGGACAAUGGGGGCAACCCUGAUCCAGCCAUGCCGCGUGCGGGAAGAAGGCCUUCGGGUUGUAAACCGCUUUUGUCAGGGAAGAAAUCCUUUGGGUUAAUACCUCGGAGGGAUGACGGUACCUGAAGAAUAAGCACCGGCUAACUACGUGCCAGCAGCCGCGGUAAUACGUAGGGUGCGAGCGUUAAUCGAAAUUACUGGGCGUAAAGCGUGCGCAGGCGGUUUUGUAAGAUCGAUGUGAAAUCCCCGGGCUCAACCUGGGAACUGCAUUGGUGACUGCAAGGCUGGAGUGCGGCAGAGGGGGAUGGAAUUCCGCGUGUAGCAGUGAAAUGCGUAGAUAUGCGGAGGAACACCGAUGGCGAAGGCAAUCCCCUGGGCCUGCACUGACGCUCAUGCACGAAAGCGUGGGGAGCAAACAGGAUUAGAAACCCUGGUAGUCC
rnacentral:rRNA from 1 species